ACGAUCUACGGAUGAAAGCAGGGGAUCGCAAGACCUUGCGCGAAUGGAGCGGCCGAUGGCAGAUUAGGUAGUUGGUGAGGUAAAGGCUCACCAAGCCUUCGAUCUGUAGCUGGUCUGAGAGGACGACCAGCCACACUGGGACUGAGACACGGCCCAGACUCCUACGGGAGGCAGCAGUGGGGAAUUUUGGACAAUGGGCGAAAGCCUGAUCCAGCCAUGCCGCGUGCAGGAUGAAGGCCUUCGGGUUGUAAACUGCUUUUGUACGGAACGAAACGGCCUUUUCUAAUAAAGAGGGCUAAUGACGGUACCG
rnacentral:rRNA from 1 species